rnacentral:tRNA from 1 species
GCUUGAAUAGUUUAAUGGAUAAAAUGCUUUCCUCCGACGAAAGAGAUAUAGGUUCGAUUCCUAUUUCAAGUACCA